rnacentral:rRNA from 1 species
GGGGAUAACUACGGGAAACUGUAGCUAAUACCGCGUAGUAUCGGAAGAUGAAAGUGCGGGACCGUAAGGCCGCAUGCCAUGAGAUGAGCCCAAGUGGGAUUAGGUAGUUGGUGGGGUAAAGGCCUACCAAGCCUGCGAUCUCUAGCUGGUCUGAGAGGAUGGCCAGCCACACUGGAACUGAGACACGGUCCAG